ACUCAAAGGAAUAGACGGGGACCCGCACAAGCGGUGGAUUAUGUGGAUUAAUUCGAUGCAACGCGAAAAACCUUACCUACCCUUGACAUGUACCGAACCUCCCGGAGAUGGGAGGGUGCCCGAAAGGGAGCGGUAACACAGGUGCUGCAUGGCUGUCGUCAGCUCGUGUCGUGAGAUGUUGGGUUAAGUCCCGCAACGAGCGCAACCCUUGUCAUUAGUUGCUACAUUUAGUUGGGCACUCUAAUGAGACUGCCGGUGACAAACCGGAGGAAGGUGGGGAUGACGUCAAGUCCUCAUGGCCCUUAUGGGUAGGGCCUCACACGUAAUACAAUGGACGGUACAGAGGGCAGCCAACCCGCGAGGGGGAGCGAAUCUCAGAAAGCCGUUCGUAGUCCGGAUUGUUCUCUGCAACUCGAGAGCAUGAAGUCGGAAUCGCUAGUAAUCGCGGAUCAGCAUGUCGCGGUGAAUACGUUCCCGGGUCUUGUACACACCGCCCGU
rnacentral:rRNA from 1 species